rnacentral:ncRNA from 1 species
CGUAACCACUAGGGGUGCUUUGUGCUGAGAGGAGCGCUUGCUUCGACCCUUAGAACCUGAUCCGGUUUGUACCGGCGGAGGGAAGUGGAUGGAUGCUGCC